GCCAGCCUCAGACCCCGCACACGCAGUUUCAGAAAGCAAACACCACGGAUCCCAGUCUCAGGGCGCAGAUGGCGGGGCUGAGACGGCGGCACCAGCUCCCUGGGAAGCGGGUACAGCCGGGCAGGCCACGCGAGGCAGAGCGGGGGCGUUCCUGCUUUUCUCGGCUGUCCACGCUCCAGACACCUUCCAGGAGGUUCAGAGAGAGGCGGACUUGCCAGGAGGCGCCUGUCAGGCCACCUGCCUCUGUCUCUUCAUUAAGGUAAAAUGGGUCCCAGGAAGUUCCCCGCCUGGGCAGGACAUUAUCCCCACAGAGACAAGGCUGGUGAGGCCAUCCUCCUCUAUAGGCAGAUUCUAUGCAGGGCAGGCUCACCUGUGGACCGAGGAGGGAGCCGCUAGACACCCUUCAAGGGGACACCCUGUGGGUGGGAACUGGACUCAAUUCCAGCUCAAUCCAGCUCCUGAGAGCCCCAGCUGGACCAGAGGAGGGAGGCCUGUUUCCUGGGCACUUGGAGGUUGGUGGACACAUGGGGACCUGGGGACCCAGGCAGGGGUGGCCCCAGGGGAAUGUAGAGGAGGUCACGGUCUGUGGGGGCUUUGGCCUGUGUUACGUGUGGGGACCCUGGAGGACCUACAAAAAGCCAGGGAUGGAGGCUGGCUCAGCGGCGGUUGGUACAGCCCGAGGCUGGGGCUCAGUUCUGGGGCUGAGCCAGAUGAGCGGCCCCACCUGCUCCACCUCUGAGAGGGACCACGGGUGGCCUCAGGCCUGGUGGAGGAGCAGGAAGGAGCCCCGUGGUCUGAGGCGCUCACCCCCGUGGUCUGAGGCACUCACCCCCGUGGUCUGAGGCCGAGGCAAGAGGGCUCAGCCAGGCUCACACCCGAUCACCAGCUCGAGGAGCCGCAGGGGCCCAGGAGAACCAUGCCAGCCCCUUCCAAGGACUGAAGCAGUGAGCUAGUCACCUCCAUCAGUCCCUAGAGGUGCCACCACCUCACAUGGCCCUUUAGGGACACAUGCAGGCCACACUCAAACCACAGCUAGACCAAUGGGACAGGCCGUUGGCAUUUUCUGAAGCACACAUCACUCUUGC
rnacentral:lncRNA from 1 species